CUGCAACCAAUUAAGCCAACCCAGGCCCUUUCCCCAUGGGGGCCUAGUGUGCAAUGCUCACAAACAGCAGCCUCCUUGACAUGGGGCCUCUUGCUGAUCUGGGUUGCCCUAAGAGACCUUGGAGACAAUUU
rnacentral:snoRNA from 1 species